GUUCCCAAUUUCUUCCAUUGUUAUUGUUCUGUUAGUUUCUCUCUUCUGGAAUCAAUUCUGAUAACUGGAUUUCCCAUUGCCAAGGCAUCCUGCAGGACGCUUCCUUUGACGAUGGAGGACUCCUGUGUUUUAGCUCCAUGCAUCUGGGCUGUGGCUCCCCCUAAAUCACUCAUCCCUUAACCUGGAGUUGACUGCAGAUGCGUGAAGGAGCUCAGGAGGGCCAACAGAAGAAGCAUCCAACUGAGCGCAUCUAGCUGGCAACCCACAGAAUCAUCUUGAGGAAAAUAAAUGAUUGUUGCUCAAAACC
rnacentral:lncRNA from 1 species